AUACGUAGGGGGCGAGCGUUGUCCGGAAUGAUUGGGCGUAAAGGGCGCGUAGGCGGCCCGGUAAGUCUGGAGUGAAAGUCCUGCUUUUAAGGUGGGAAUUGCUUUGGAUACUGUCGGGCUUGAGUGCAGGAGAGGUAAGUGGAAUUCCCAGUGUAGCGGUGAAAUGCGUAGAGAUUGGGAGGAACACCAGUGGCGAAGGCGACUUACUGGACUGUAACUGACGCUGAGGCGCGAAAGUGUGGGGAGCAAACAGGAUUAGAUACCCUGGUAGUCCACGCCGUAAACGAUGAGUGCUAGGUGUUGGGAGUAAUCUCAGUGCCGCAGUAAACGCAAUAAGCACUCCGCCUGGGGAGUACGUGCGCAAGCAUGAAACUCAAAGGAAUUGACGGGG
rnacentral:rRNA from 1 species